rnacentral:rRNA from 1 species
UACGUAGGGCGCAAGCGUUGUCCGGAAUUAUUGGGCGUAAAGAGCUCGUAGGCGGCCUGUUACGUCUGCUGUGAAAUCCCGGGGCUUAACCCCGGGCGUGCAGUGGAUACGGGCAGGCUGGAGGCAGGCAGGGGAGAACGGGAAUUCCCGGUGUAGCGGGUGAAAUGCGCAGAGUAUCGGGAGGAACACCGGUGGCGAAGGCGGUUCUCUGGGCCUGUACUGACGCUGAGGAGCGAAAGCGUGGGGAGCGAACGGG